CUCCCGUUCUCUCCCCCAUCUCUCCUCCUUUUCCCCCCAAAUUUGCUCUCUUCCUCACGCAUCCUCCAUAGCCGUUCCUCAGCUCACCCAUUUCCCGCUCUCAUCUUUCUUCCCGUCCAUAGCUGGCUGUCUCACGCAUCCUCCAUAGCCGACUUCCUCAGCUCACCCAUUUCCCUUUUCCCGUUUUUCUCCACUGAUUCUCCACAGCUGGGUGAAGACCACGGUCGGCUUCAACCGGGCCAACCUCUUCGAGGGCGACGUCGCAGACCUUAUCAAAGACGUCUCCACAGCUAGGUGGAGACCACCUUCGCCGUCAACCAGGAUCAAAGACGUCUUCACAGGUGGGUGGAGACCACCAUCGUCGUGAACCGGGCCAACCUCCUCCAAGCCGACGUCUUGACCUCAUCAAAGAAGUCUCCCUCAAGGACCGCGAGCUCAGGAUUGUGGGCGAGGUCGGUGCCAAGAUCCGAGUCUUAGACUUCAUUUCUCCCGAUGUCCAGGUUCUAAAUUUAAUGGUUUAAAAACCCGAAUUGAAGACGUAGCUGGAAGAAGAAGAAGAGGGCGUGUAGUACUAAGGAAAAGAAAGCUGAGAAGGACACAAUUGUUUGUUACUCAAACGGCGCUUGUAUCCUAAUUAUUUGGCGAGUUCUAUAUAAAGGGAAAAAAAUGAGCGAACGCGAUGGUCUUGAAGUUGUUCAAAAUCCAAAGAGGCCUAUCGGCGCUUGGAUACAUUACUAGUAAGGGAAAAUAGAAAUAUGUAAAAUAAUAUGUUUUUUAAUGUAUUUUUUGUGGUUGUUAUUGUUAAAUUUG